GACGGAGGAUGCAAGUGUUAUCCGGAAUCACUGGGCGUAAAGAGCGCGCAGGCGGUCGUUCAAGUCGCGUGUGAAAGCCCCCGGCUCAACUGGGGAGGGUCACGCGAUACUGAUCGACUCGAAGGCAGGAGAGGGAAGUGGAAUUCCCGGUGUAGUGGUGAAAUGCGUAGAUAUCGGGAGGAACACCAGUGGCGAAGGCGACUUCCUGGCCUGUUCUUGACGCUGAGGCGCGAAAGCUAGGGGAGCAAACGGG
rnacentral:rRNA from 1 species